rnacentral:tRNA from 1 species
UGGCGAGUGGCCAAGCGGUAAGGCGCCUGACUCUGGAUCAGGGGUUUGAAGGUUCGAAUCCUUCCUCGCCAGCCA